rnacentral:rRNA from 1 species
CCAAUAGCGUAUAUUAAAGUUGUUGCAGUUAAAAAGCUCGUAGUUGAAUUUCGGGAUCAAUAUUUCGGUCAUGCCGUUGGUAUGCACUGUUAUCAUUGAUUUCUCACCUUCUAAAGAACCGAAAUGCCAUUAAUUUGGUGUUACGGGGAAUUAGGACUGUUACUUUGAAAAAAUUAGAGUGUUUAAAGCAGGCUCGCGCUUGAAUACAUUAGCAUGGAAUAAUGAAAUAGGACGUUUGACCCUAUUUUGUUGGUUUCUAGGAUCGACGUAAUGAUUAAUAGGGAUAGUUGGGGGCAUUAGGAUUCAAUUGUCAGAGGUGAAAUUCUUGGAUUUAUUGAAGACUAACUACUGCGAAAGCAUUUGCCAAGGAUGUUUUCAUUAAUCAAGAACGAAAGUUAGGGGAUCGAAGACGAUCAGAUACCGUCGUAGUCUUAACCAUAAACUAUGCCGACUAGGGAUCGGAUGAUGUUAAUUUUUUAAUGACUCAUUCGGCGCCUUACG